GCCCUGGUAGUAUAGUCCGGCCUAGUAUAGGCGGCUGUCGCCCGCCUGACAUUACAUGAAAAAUGUAACAGGAACCGGGUUCAAAUCCCGGCCAGGGCGCCA
rnacentral:tRNA from 1 species